CCUACGGGAGGCAGCAGUAGGGAAUCUUCCGCAAUGGACGAAAGUCUGACGGAGCAACGCCGCGUGAACGAUGAAGGCCUUCGGGUCGUAAAGUUCUGUUGUUAGGGAAGAACAAGUGCUAGUUAAAUAAGCUGGCACCUUGACGGUACCUAACCAGAAAGCCACGGCUAACUACGUGCCAGCAGCCGCGGUAAUACGUAGGUGGCAAGCGUUGUCCGGAAUUAUUGGGCGUAAAGCGCGCGCAGGCGGUUUCUUAAGUCUGAUGUGAAAGCCCCCGGCUCAACCGGGGAGGGUCAUUGGAAACUGGGAAACUUGAGUGCAGAAGAGGAAAGUGGAAUUCCAAGUGUAGCGGUGAAAUGCGUAGAGAUUUGGAGGAACACCAGUGGCGAAGGCGUCUUUCUGGUCUGUAACUGACGCUGAGGCGCGAAAGCGUGGGGAGCAAACAGGAUUAGAUACCCUGGUAGUCCACGCUGUAAACGAUGAGUGCUAAGUGUUAGAGGGUUUCCGCCCUUUAGUGCUGAAGUUAACGCAUUAAGCACUCCGCCUGGGGAUACGGUCGCAAGACUGAAACUCAAAGGAUUGACGG
rnacentral:rRNA from 1 species